UACGUAGGUGGCAAGCGUUGUCCGGAUUUAUUGGGUUUAAAGGGUGCGUAGGCGGCUUUAUAAGUCAGUGGUCAAAUCGUGUGGCUUAACCAUACUUCGCCAUUGAUACUGUAAGGCUUGAAUAUGUGCGAGGAUAGUGGAAUACGUAGUGUAGCGGUGAAAUGCAUAGAUAUUACGUAGAACACCGAUUGCGAAGGCAGCUAUCUGGUACAUGAUUGACGCUGAGGCACGAAAGCAUGGGGAGCAAACAGG
rnacentral:rRNA from 1 species